rnacentral:rRNA from 1 species
UACGGGGGGGGCAAGCGUUGUUCGGAAUUACUGGGCGUAAAGGGCUCGUAGGCGGCCAACUAAGUCAGACGUGAAAUCCCCAGGCUCAACCUGGGAACUGCGUCUGAUACUGGUUGGCUUGAAUCCGGGAGAGGGAUGCAGAAUUCCAGGUGUAGCGGUGAAAUGCGUAGAUAUCUGGAGGAAUACCGGUGGCGAAGGCGGGUCUCUGGGCCGAAAUUGACGCUGAGGAGCGAAAGCGUGGGGAGCAAACAGG